rnacentral:ribozyme from 13 species
UUCUUUUUUUUUUUUCUUUUUUUUUUUUUUUUUUUUUUUCUGC